GUAACAUAUUUCCAUAUUAUUUCAAUAUAUACAUCGUAAUAUAGAAUUUUAUAUAUUUUUUCUGUAUUUUUAAUUUUUAGUUUAGUAUAAAUUUUACUAAUCAAUUGUGUACAUGUAAUGUAUGAGUUAAAUAAUUGGGCCAUAGAUGCAAACAUUUAAACAAAGGGUCCAACCUAAGCCCAAUUUUAAUUAACAAACAGAUUAGUCCGGAAAAAAAAAGCUAACAAACAAACCUAAUCUUUUUUUUUCUGAGUACGCUUCCUUUUUGUCGUUGAAGCAAAGAAAAAUUGUCAUCUUCUCUGUUCAUCUCUUUACCACGGUGAUGCUUUUUAUCCGAGAUCAAAUCAUGGAGAGAUUUUUUAUGAGGAAAGCGAGGAUUCAAUCUCUUUGUCUCAGCUAACCUUAAAAUACUUAAGUGAUUCAAAGAUUGGAGACUCUGUAGCUUGAAACAUGCAACCAGCAAUGAAAGCAGAGGCUGAUGAAUUAGUGAGGAUGAAUGGAAUUGUUUGUUCAAGAUGGACGUCUCAAAUAAUAUACCGUUCGUGAUGAAACAAAAACUCGAAAUUUUGAAUCCAGUGAAUCAGAAUUGAGGAUCUCUAAGGUUUUCCAUGUCCUCACAGUUGGUAUUUAAUCACCUUGCAGAGAUCAACGGAGCAAAGGAUGAAUCUUUCUAUUAGGCAGAUGAUACAAAGAGAUAAAGUUCCCAAAUUUUACUAUGGUAUGUACGCAUAGGAGGUAACAAAUACACUGUCAUGUAUUAUUCUUCUUUCUCAAUUCAUUGUGUAUGGUGGUUUGUAAAUAAUAUAUAUGUUUUAUUUGAUUUGCAUGAUUUCAAACGUUUUGGAGUACGAAGACCAGACUCCUAUUCGAAAUUUAGACAACACAUUUGUCGACCACACUUCAGAUUACAAAACACGUGAAAGGAAAUGUAUCUUACAGCUUGGUCUACAAGGAUGCACUCAAAAGUAUCUCCUCCAAAACUGGUGCUUUGUUUCCAAGAAUGAAUCAGUUUGAGAGUCAGACGUCAUUCCUCUCGGAUGAAGGAAAGAAAAAAAAAAGGUGCAAGGUAAAGAUCGGCAAUUGUGCAGAGCACUGCAUCACAGGCCCUACCAGAUGAUUUGAACACCCUUACGAGCGUCUGCAGAUAGAGUGGCCAUGAGAAACAAGAACCUCAGAAGGUACACUUCCUUUGAGGGAGUGUAUGAGAAAACAUUGUUAAGCAUGAUUAUUGGGAGGUCCUUAGGGGGUUUAUGAUUCAGCUUUCGGAACAAAUAUCAUCACUCAAUGAGAGAAUGGAGGAGUUCACAAACCGGAUUGAAGAGCUAAACUCAAAGUUGAGCUGCAACAGAAACUCUCCAAGCUGAAGUCUGCAAUUGCUCAGCUCCAACUUCAUAUUUCAUUUCUGGUCUAGACAAUGGCUGUUUGACAAAUUCUAUAAUGCCUCGUUCAUCCUCAUCCUCCCAAUUAGCCAAGGAUAUUAUGCCAUUAAUGGAAGAGAUAUUGACUCUCUCACGUGGACAGCGUCAAGUGAUGCAUCAAUUGGAUAAUCUGUGCAGUCUGAUUAGAGAAAGCUCAUCAGAAGAAAGGUCACGCCUAACGAGAAUGGGAAGCAGUAAUAGCAGUAGCAGAGACCUAUCAAUCGAAAGCUUCUUAUUGUCCAAUGCGGAAUCUAGUAGACUGCCUCUCGUGUUAACAUUGGCUCUUCGUGUUUAGGAGCUACUACGUUAACAAGCGGCAAUAACAUCUAUAAGACUAUAAGCACUUUGUUUCUCGUCUCUUUUUUUUGGGUAUUUUUUUCUCACUGGAGGCGUUUUGUGAGCUUCCAUGGUUUAUUACUACGUAGACUAUUACACUCAUUCUCUUCUCCUAUUCUCGAUUAAUUUUAUUCAAUAAAGCUCAGUUUUUUAUUUAGCUUAGCAUUCAUUUUGCUUUUCUUUUAGUUCUUACAUAAUUAAAGAAGAGCACAACGACAGGUGCACCUGUAGCUAAGCCAUCCUUAUUCAUCAAUGGAAAAACCCAAAGGUAAAUGUGAAAACAACCUUGAAGAUCUAAAACAUUUUUCAGAUUCUUUACCAAUUUUUGAUGAGUAUGAUGAAGAGCUGAUUGAAAGUUUGAUGAUUUGUGAGGAUAAUUGUGAUCUUCCUUUUCCAGAACCAAUUUUAUGUUUGAUAAAGAACAGACUAUUGCAGAACUAACCUUUUUGCAACCGGAGCAUCCGAGUAGUCUUGUUCUAUUUUCACAGGAUUUUGAGGAAAAGCCAUUCGACUACCCACAUCAAGGACCGCUUCUUGAUACUAGGAGACACUUGGACGAUGGCCUAGGUCUCAUCUUUGAUGAGGAAGACGAACUUGAUCCUACCUUUGAUGAGAAAGCACCAAGCAUGACAUCCAUCAACAUGGAGAAUCAUCUUUGUUUUGAUCCAGGCACAACUCCUACGCCUUCGACCACAUACAUUCAAGAGCACUGUGAGAAACUUGAUUUGAUUAAUUUUCUGUCUGAAAUGUGUGUUAAGAUCAGCUCUCAAGAUGUGAAACGUUUUGGUUUUGACAAGGUUAAAGAAUUUCAUGUUUCAGAUUAUGUUUUCGAAAACAUGUUUAAUUCUUUUAAAGUGUUUGAACCUGAUGAACUUCUUGAUCAAAAACGUUUUCAACAUGACAAUGGCAUCAAUUCUGGAUUUGUUUCGAGUUUUGAUCAGUUCUUGAAACAUAGCAAAGGUUUUGAUUAUUUUGAAGAGUCUUUUGAGCUUGAUUUGCAACAACCUGAUUUUUGUGCUAGAAAUUCGUUUGAUUCAUUUGUCUUCUAAGAAAAUAGCUUUAAUCUAAGUUGUUAUAGAUAUGCACUGAUCACUGGUAACUUUUUUGCAUCCACUUGUGCCUUGGACGAAUUUAUGGUUAAGACUUUGCUGUAACAGAAAUCACUUAGAGCUAAAACCGACUUUUGUUGUGAUUUUGUUUUGAAAUCUGAUCUUGAACUUUUGUAUUCUAAUUCUGAUCAUGUUAGGCACGUUUCAAAAAUGUCCUAUGAUAUUUCAUGCCUUGAAAGCAUUCUGAUUUACAACACCUUCUUUGAUAAAAGUGUUGAUUCUUGGAUAAGUAAUUCUCGGUUUGAAAUUGAUUUUUUUGUGUUCUAAAUCUGAGAAACUUGCGCAUGUUUUGAAUUUGUUCUUUAGUAACUGUGCUGUCACGUGCUCUGACAUCAUUCUGGUGUACAACACUUACUUUGAUAGGCUUCAUGAUGAUCUGAAACGUGUGCUACAUGUUCUAGGGAAAUAAACUUUGGUUUCUGAUCUGAACAAGUACUUGUCUUGCACAUAUGAUCCUGGUAUUUUAAUGUUUGUUUUGAGUGUCCAGGAUAAACAGGAUCAGUCUCCAAGAGGUGUCAGGAACAGAAGCAGAGAUCAUGUUUCUAAGUUUGAGAUUUAGAGAUGGAAGUACUUGAGGAAAACAACUUCAAAAUUCCAAGGAUGUUUCUUUCCAAAAUUUUUUUUAGCACCCCAUAUAUAUAAUUUUUUUUGCAGAGCACUGCAUCACAGCUAGGAUUGGAUGGAUCGUUCAUUCCACGAACCUAUAUAUAUUUUUUUUUUUCGAAUGAAUGCAAAAUUUAUUCAAUCGGAAAAAGCCUGUGUUACAUCAAGUGCUUCUAGAGUUUGCUUUAUACAAACUCAAAGUAAUGAAACGAUCUACAUCUAGAUCUUAUAAGCUAUGAAUGAAGCCUUCUCGUCUCAAACCAUCUACAUAAGCCUUCCUCCAAAUAUCUCUGACCUUUACCCUUCACAGCAAGCAACUUCAGUCUUAUUAUCUUAUCCACAAACUUAUAAAGUAAACCCUCAUCCCUUGGCUGCUCCCCAUGGCGACGAGCAUUUCUCUCCCGCCAGAUACUAUAAACCAGAACUUGAAAAGCAUAGCAAAGCAGAAACCCCUCUGUAGUCUUUUGACGUUGUCUUGAAAUAGCAUCAAUAAUAUCAUUCCAUUCAUAAGUAAACUCACUUCCCAUAAUUCCUUCAGCUAACUCCCUCCAGAUUUUCCUAGAAUAUCUACAUCCAAAAAAUAGAUGUUGACAAGUCUCUGCAGUCUCUGUACAUAAAACACAAUUCUCAUAACUUGAAAAAUUGAUAAAUGAACUUAUGAAGUAAUGGUAUGAUUUUGCUGCUCAGACGAUGAUCUUUUUACUUUUUUUUUCCCGUUACAUAUCAUUUGGGUUCUUGCAUUACAGGCCCUACCAGAUGAUUUGAACACCCUUACGAGCGUCUGUAGAUAGAGUGGCCAUGAGAAACAAGAACCUCGGAAGGUACACUUCCUUUGAGAGAGUGUAUGAGAAAACAUUGUUAAGCAUGAUUAUUGGGAGGUCCUUAGGGUGAGGUUCUUAGCACCCCAUAUAUAUAUAUAUUUUUUUUUGCAGAGCACUGCAUCACAGCUAGGAUUGGAUGGAUCGUUCAUUCCACGAACCUAUAUAUAUAUUUUUUUUUCCGAAUGAAUGCAAAAUUUAUUCAAUCGGUAAAAGCUUGUGUUACAUCAAGUGCUUCUAGAGUUUGCUUUAUACAAACUCAAAGUAAUGAAACGAUCUACAUCUAGAUCUUAUAAGCUAUGAAUGAGGCCUUCUCGUCUCAAACCAUCUACAUAAGCCUUCCUCCAAAUAUCUCUGACCUUUACCCUUCACAGCAAGCAACUUCAGUCUUAUUAUCUUAUCCACAAACUUAUAAAGUAAACCCUCAUCCCUUGGCUGCUCCCCAUGGCGACGAGCAUUUCUCUCCCGCCAGAUACUAUGAACCAGAACUUGAAAAGCAUAGCAAAGCAGAAACCCCUCUGUAGUCUUUUGACGUUGUCUUGAAAUAGCAUCAAUAAUAUCAUUCCAUUCAUAAGUAAACUCACUUCCCAUAAUUCCUUCAGCUAACUCCCUCCAGAUUUUCCUAGAAUAUCUACAUCCAAAAAAUAGAUGUUGACAAGUCUCUGCAGUCUCUGUACAUAAAACACAAUUCUCAUAACUUGAAAAAUUGAUAAAUGAACUAAUGAAGUAAUGGUAUGAUUUUGCUGCUUCGACGAUGAUCUUUUUACUUCUUUUUUUUCCGUUACAUAUCAUUUGGGUUCGUGCAUUACAGGCCCUACCAGAUGAUUUGAACACCCUUACGAGCGUCUGCAGAUAGAGUGGCCAUGAGAAACAAGAACCUCAGAAGGUACACUUCCUUUGAGGGAGUGUAUGAGAAAACAUUGUUAAGCAUGAUUAUUGGGAGGUCCUUAGGGUGAGGUUCUUAGCACCCCAUAUAUAUAUUUUUUUUUGCAGAGCACUGCAUCACAGCUAGGAUUGGAUGGAUCGUUCAUUCCACGAACCUAUAUAUAUAUAUUUUUUUUUCGAAUGAAUGCAAAAUUUAUUCAAUCGGAAAAAGCCUGUGUUACAUCAAGUGCUUCUAGAGUUUGCUUUAUACAAACUCAAAGUAAUGAAACGAUCUACAUCUAGAUCUUAUAAGCUAUGAAUGAGGCCUUCUCGUCUCAAACCAUCUACAUAAGCCUUCCUCCAAAUAUCUCUGACCUUUACCCUUCACAGCAAGCAACUUCAGUCUUAUUAUCUUAUCCACAAACUUAUAAAGUAAACCCUCAUCCCUUGGCUGCUCCCCAUGGCGACGAGCAUUUCUCUCCCGCCAGAUACUAUGAACCAGAACUUGAAAAGCAUAGCAAAGCAGAAACCCCUCUGUAGUCUUUUGACGUUGUCUUGAAAUAGCAUCAAUAAUAUCAUUCCAUUCAUAAGUAAACUCACUUCCCGUAAUUCCUUCAGCUAACUCCCUCCAGAUUUUCCUAGAAUAUCUACAUCCAAAAAAUAGAUGUUGACAAGUCUCUGCAGUCUCUGUACAUAAAACACAAUUCUCAUAACUUGAAAAAUUGAUAAAUGAACUAAUGAAGUAAUGGUAUGAUUUUGCUGCUCAGACGAUGAGCUUUUUACUUUUUUUUUUUCCGUUACAUAUCAUUUGGGUUCGUGCAUUACAGGCCCUACCAGAUGAUUUGAACACCCUUACGAGCGUCUGCAGAUAGAGUGGCCAUGAGAAACAAGAACCUCAGAAGGUACACUUCCUUUGAGGGAGUGUAUGAGAAAACAUUGUUAAGCAUGAUUAUUGGGAGGUCCUUAGGGUGAGGUUCUUAGCACCCCAUAUAUAUAUAUUUUUUUUUUUGCAGAGCACUGCAUCACAGCUAGGAUUGGAUGGAUCGUUCAUUCCACGAACCUAUAUAUAUAUUUUUUUUUCGAAUGAAUGCAAAAUUUAUUCAAUCGGAAAAAGCCUGUGUUACAUCAAGUGCUUCUAGAGUUUGUUUUAUACAAACUCAAAGUAAUGAAACGAUCUACAUCUAGAUCUUAUAAGCUAUGAAUGAGGCCUUCUCGUCUCAAACCAUCUACAUAAGCCUUCCUCCAAAUAUGUCUUUUUUCUUUUCCCUUACUAGGCAACUUUAAAGUUGUCGUUUUGUAAUUGAAAGUUGUUAACAGUGCAAUUUUCAUGGUUUUUGAUAUUAUUGUUAGGGGUUUAUGACAGCUUUCGGAACAAAUAUCAUCACUCAAUGAGAGAAUGGAGGAGUUCACAAACCGGAUUGAAGAGCUAAACUCAAAGUUGAGCUGCAACAGAAACUCUCCAAGCUGAAGUCUGCAAUGGCUCAGCUCCAACUUCAUAUUUCAUUUCUGGUCUAGACAAUGGCUGUUUGACAAAUUCUAUAAUGCCUCGUUCAUCCUCAUCCUCCCAAUUAGCCAAGGAUAUUAUGCCAUUAAUGGAAGAGAUAUUGACUCUCUCACGUGGACAGCGUCAAGUGAUGCAUCAAUUGGAUAAUCUGUGCAGUCUGAUUAGAGAAAGCUCAUCAGAAGAAAGGUCACGCCUAACGAGAAUGGGAAGCAGUAAUAGCAGUAGCAGAGACCUAUCAAUCGAAAGCUUCUUAUUGUCCAAUGCGGAAUCUAGUAGACUGCCUCUCGUGUUAACAUUGGCUCUUCGUGUUUAGGAGCUACUACGUUAACAAGCGGCAAUAACAUCUAUAAGACUAUAAGCACUUUGUUUCUCGUCUCUUUUUUUUGGGUAUUUUUUUCUCACUGGAGGCGUUUUGUGAGCUUCCAUGGUUUAUUACUACGUAGACUAUUACACUCAUUCUCUUCUCCUAUUCUCGAUUAAUUUUAUUCAAUAAAGCUCAGUUUUUUAUUUA